CAUUAAGAAGCUAUGUAACAGCGCUAGCCUUUUAAGCUAGAGAGAGAGGGUUGUCUACUACCUCCUUAAUGA
rnacentral:tRNA from 1 species